rnacentral:tRNA from 1 species
CUAAAGAAACGGGAAUCGAACCCGCGACAAAGAAAUCAAAGUUCUCCGUUUUUCCUUCUAAACUAUUCCUUA